UACAGAGGUCCCAAGCGUUGUUCGGAUUCACUGGGCGUAAAGGGUGCGCAGGUGGGUUGGCAAGUUCGAUGUGAAAGCCCCGGGCUUAACCCGGGAAUGGCAUUGGAAACUGCUGAUCUGGAGGAUCGGAGGGGGGACUGGAAUUCCAGGUGUAGCGGUGAAAUGCGUAGAGAUGUGGAGGAACACCGAUGGCGAAGGCAGCCCCCUGGGCUAGCACUGACGCUCAGGCACGAAAGCGUGGGGAGCAAACAGG
rnacentral:rRNA from 1 species